GACGAACGCUGGCGGCGUGCUUAACACAUGCAAGUCGAACGGAAAGGCCCUGCUUUUGUGGGGUGCUCGAGUGGCGAACGGGUGAGUAACACGUGAGUAACCUGCCCUUGACUUUGGGAUAACUUCAGGAAACUGGGGCUAAUACCGGAUAGGAGCUCCUGCUGCAUGGUGGGGGUUGGAAAGUUUCGGCGGUUGGGGAUGGACUCGCGGCUUAUCAGCUUGUUGGUGGGGUAGUGGCUUACCAAGGCUUUGACGGGUAGCCGGCCUGAGAGGGUGAACGGCGACAUUGGGACUGAGAUACGGCCCAGAAUCCUACGGGAGGCAGCAGUGGGGAAUAUUGCACAAUGGGCGGAAGCCUGAUGCAGCAACGCCGCGUGCGGGAUGACGGCCUUCGGGUUGUAAACCGCUUUCGCCUGUGACGAAGCGUGAGUGACGGUAAUGGGUAAAGAAGCACCGGCUAACUACGUG
rnacentral:rRNA from 1 species